CUUCAGGGAUUCUCGGAGCGGUGCCCUACCUGCGGGGCCAGAAAGGGGGCUCGCCGUCUGGCUCCCCAGUGCCCCUCAUCAGGACCAGGUCCUUCAUUAGCACCAAGCAGCAUCCUUUGCAGCAUGGUGCCGAACACAUUCGUUAGCUGCUUGUAAUUGGCCCAUGAUUUGGAAAUUGCAUGCAGGAUUUGGGGGCAAAAGAGCUUUUUCUGAAAUUCAUAACAAAACGAGGAACUGGGUAGCUGAGUGCAGGGAUUUGAAUUUCAAGUGUGGAUGCUCUGCUUAAUGAAAGAAAGAAAUGGUGUUACUGAGAGGGGAAAAGAAAAGAAUUGGAAUCCCACCUGGGGUGAUAAAAGCAAUCUCGGGUUACCUAUAGAUGACGUCCCCGAGCAGCCGGCAGCGGGGAGCCCUUCUCCAUGGGCAGCUCCUCCAGAGGCUUCACCUCCAGCGGUGCUGCGGCACCUGGCCCUGCUUGCUGCAGUUGAGAGAUGAAAAUUCCCAUGCUCACAGUGCCUGUGAGCGUUUUAUUGAUGGUUGCCUAUUCCGAGGGCCAGCACAGCCCCACGAGGAGCUCUCAGGGUCAGCCCGGGAGGGCUCUGAGGUCUGGCCUCACUCAGGGAGGCGAUUGCUGCAUCACGAUGCACAGGUCGCAGGAGAUGAGCUUUGCUCACAGGCUCCAGGCCAGGAACAAA